UUGUAGCCUUUUAUUAACAAAUUCAUUAUGUAUAUUACAAAUAACAGUAAAUCAGUCAGAAAACAAAACAAAAUGCAUAUAAAACAUAUAAUAUCUUGAUCUAAAAAUAAACAAAAUAAAGAUAAAUAGCUUAUAAAACAAAAUAUGAAAUAUGAAAACAAUAACACAGUAUUUCCUUAUUAUAAAACUGUUCUUUCCUUAUCUGUAAUCUCUUAUCAAAACUAACUUCUGUUAAUCUUUUUCUGAAAUUGCACAAUUCUAGAUAAAUGUCACAUCUUAACUAGUUGCUUGAUGUGUGGUUUAAUAAGGACUGUUAGUGCACAUGUAUCAGAAAUGUCCUUACUAUACAUAUCACAGUGUAAAUUAUAUAUGGAUACUGCAAUCUUCCAAAGAAAGUGGUUGUUUACAACUAAUGUACAUGUGCUGUCGAUGAUGGAUUUAGUGUUGAGAAAUAUCCAGUGACAAACAUUACAUACACAAGAUCAUGUUUAUGAGAAAUAAAAUAUGAACCCUGUGUUGUACUAGUCCAAGACUAAUGCUUUUUUAAUAUGCUAUUCAAAAUAUAUUUACUCCAGUUUUCAAGAAGUAUCUUUCGCUCACCUUGCACCUGAAAACCAGUCUAACAAACUUAAUUAGGUCAUUCAAAACAUGAGUUGACAAUAGCUACUCAUAGAAUUACCAUUAUUUUUAAGAAGUUAUCCAUGUUUAUAAAGAUAACAAUUCUGUUAAUAUUUAAAUUUUGUCAAUUCAAAAUUUUACUUUAACAACCUUACAGAGAAACUUGAAAUUGUCAAAGACAAUAUAUAAUACUUAAACAUAACAAUUCCAAAUAAGUUCACCAGAAAAAAAUACCCUAUUUGAACUGUUUGCCAACUGCCUAAAAUGAUAUCAAAAGAAGGUCAACCACGUUCACACAUAUGAUCUCACAAAAAUACCAGCUCAAUAUCGGUCAGAAAUGAAUACAAUAAAUGUGAAAGCUGGCAUUGUUCUAAUGACCACAAUUAACACUACCCGUCUAUGAGUCACUAUAUGAAGGUUUUUACUGAAUGACCUAACCACUUUAAUUUAGUAAGAUUAUGUAUAAAGUUCAAGAAGAAAAUAUGACCAUGCAUCACAGAUGCCUCUGUCAGAGGUGGAUUUAGGGGUUGGGGGUAAGGGGUAGGGUGUCGGUCCCCCCUUUUCUGGGAAAAAUUUGGUUGAUCAUAUAGGGAAUCACUGUAGCGUGACUGGAGAGGGCCCCCUCUUAGACAGUCAGUGGGCCCCCAUUUAAAGUUUUGACAAGGUGUUUUUACACUAAUUUAGCUGAAGUAAAAGAUACAAGGUACAAAACAUCAUAAUCUCUAUCAAAAUUUGUAAUUUGUCAAAAAAUUAAUAAAUUAAUGUUCCCUUUUUAUUUUGAUUAGUUCAAAUGACACAACACUAAGAUGAUCCCUUUUUGCUACCAAAGAAAUAUGCAGUUGUAGGAUGAACAAAAUCUACAAAAUUAUAUGAUCAACUGUUAACAAAAGAUCCAAAUAAUUUUAUGACCUACUGUUAACAGAGAUCUACAAAAUUAUAUGAUCAACUGUUAACAAAAGAUCCAAAUAAGUUUAUGACCAACUGUU
rnacentral:lncRNA from 1 species